GGAGCCCGAAAUAGCGUGGAGCAGAGCGGCCUGGAUGACGCGGGAGCCGCCCGGGGCUGACUCACCCGGCCCGGAGUGGAGGCCCCCGGAUGGGGGGACAGUGGAGCGCACCGGACCCGACCCCCGCGCCUUCACGGACACCUCUUCUACUACUGCACCUCAAUGUGUCCACUGGGACAAUGUGUCCGUGGAUGAAUAGAUACACAGCAAAAGAUGUUUGUAGCAGAGGCACUGCAGUUGGAUUAAGGGAAGAACUUCCACCAAAGAAAUUGGACCAGCUCCAGGGUCUCCUCCCGGGAACCAGGAAGGGCUCCUGCUACUUUAAGACGGAGAACAGUCGAUUCGCGUUGCCUGGGCAGCGCCGCGGCGGUUGCCUAGCAACGUCAACAAACCACAGCGCCGUUGCGACUCCGUGCGCCCUCCCCCCCGGCCGCCCGCGCUGACGCAGUGACG
rnacentral:lncRNA from 1 species